UACAGAGGGCGCAAGCGUUGUUCGGAAUCACUGGGCGUAAAGGGUGCGUAGGCCGCACGGUAUGUCAGAGGUGAAAUCCCGGAGCUCAACUUCGGAAUUGCCUCCGAUACUGCCGUGCUUGAGGACUGGAGAGGAGAUUGGAAUUCACAGUGGAGCAGUGAAAUGCGUAGAUAUUGUGAGGAACACUAGUGGCGAAGGCGAAUCUCUGGACAGUUCCUGACGCUGAGGCACGAAGGCCAGGGGAGCAAACGGG
rnacentral:rRNA from 1 species